rnacentral:tmRNA from 1 species
GCAAAAGAAUAAGUGCUAAAUCUAACCGCACUGAGUUCGCUCUCGCUGCCUGAUUUUUAGUCAGGAUUAACCAGUGAGCAGCCGCUCCGUUCACUCCUCUUCGUCUUUGGGAGGAUGCUGAGCGUCGUUAAGAAGACUUGCUGAUGGAGUUGAGCCUCAGGGCUCCAUCAGGACUUUUACUGCGGAUAUGCUCGCCAUCAGUUGUCUGCGACAGCGAUGGGGGCAGAAAAACCGCCAACUUGGCCAGCAGACUACGCACGUAGAAGACUGUGGGCUCGGUCAUCGGACCGGGGUUCGAUUCCCCGCGACUCCACCA